rnacentral:rRNA from 1 species
UACGUAGGGGGCAAGCGUUGUCCGGAUUUAUUGGGCGUAAAGAGCGUGUAGGCGGCCAUACAGGUCAGCUGUGAAAACUCGAGGCUCAACCUCGAGACGUCGGUUGAAACCGUAUGGCUAGAGUCCGGAAGAGGAGAGUGGAAUUCCCGGUGUAGCGGUGAAAUGCGUAGAGAUCUGGAAGAACACCAAAGGCGAAGGCAGCAUCCUGGGAAGUUCCUGACGCUCGGGUGCGAAAGCCAGGGGAGCGAACGGG